rnacentral:rRNA from 1 species
UACGUAGGUGACAAGCGUUGUCCGGAUUUACUGGGCGUAAAGAGCGCGCAGGCGGUCGAUCAAGUCGAGUGUGAAAGCCCCCGGCUCAACUGGGGAGGGUCAUUCGAUACUGAUCGACUCGAAGGCAGGAGAGGGUAGUGGAAUUCCCGGUGUAGUGGUGAAAUGCGUAGAUAUUGGGAAGAACACCGGUGGCGAAGGCGGCUCACUGGCCAGUUUCUGACGCUGUAGCGCGAAAGCGUGGGGAUCAAACAGG